GGACUACCCGGGUAUCUAAUCCUGUUUGCUCCCCACGCUGUCGCGCCUCAGCGUCAGCAACGGCCCAGCAGACCGCCUUCGCCACUGAUGUUCUUCCCGAUCUCUACGCAUUCCACCGCUACACCGGGAAUUCCAUCUGCCUCUACCGUGCUCAAGCCCGACAGUUUAGAAGGCAGCCCUGCGGUUAAGCCGCAGGAUUUCACCCCCUACUUACCAGGCCGCCUACGCGCCCUUUACGCCCAGUGAUUCCGGACAACGCUCGCACCCUCCGUAUUACCGCGGCUGCUGGCAC
rnacentral:rRNA from 1 species